rnacentral:tRNA from 1 species
GGGAUUGUGGCUCAGCGGUAGAGCGCUUGCCUAGCAGGGGCAGGACCUGGGUUCGAUUCUCAGCACCA